rnacentral:rRNA from 1 species
UUCGGGGAGUAUUGACAGAUUGAGAGCUCUUUCUUGAUUCGGUGGAUGGUGGUGCAUGUCCGGUCUUAGUUGGUGGAGCGAUUUGUCUGGUUAAUUCCGAUAACGAACGAGACUCUACCCUAUUAGAUAGGUGCGUGGUUCUCUGCACUUUGCACCCUUCUUAUAGGGACAAGCGGCUCCUAGCCGCACCAAACAUUGCAAUAACAGGUCUGUGAUGCCCUUAGAU